rnacentral:rRNA from 1 species
GUACCGCGAAACUGCGAAUGGCUCAUUAAAUCAGUUAUCGUCUAUUUGAUAGUACCUUACUACUUGGAUAACCGUGGUAAUUCUAGAGCUAAUACAUGCUGAAAACCCCGACUUCGGAAGGGAUGUAUUUAUUAGAUUAAAAACCAAUGCCCUCCGGGGCUCCCUGGUGAUUCAUGAUAACUUCUCGAAUCGCACGGCCUUGCGCCGGCGAUGGUUCAUUCAAAUUUCUGCCCUAUCAACUUUCGACGGCUGGGUCUUGGCCAGCCAUGGUGACAACGGGUAACGGAGGGUUAGGGCUCGACCCCGGAGAAGGAGCCUGAGAAACGGCUACUACAUCUAAGGAAGGCAGCAGGCGCGCAAAUUACCCAAUCCCGACGCGGGGAGGUAGUGACAAUAAAUACUGAUACAGGGCUCUUUAGGGUCGUGUAAUUGGAAUGAGUACAGUUUAAUUCCCUUAACGAGGAACAAUUGGAGGGCAAGUCUGGUGCCAGCAGCCGCGGUAAUUCCAGCUCCAAUAGCGUAUAUUAAAGUUGUUGCAGUUAAAAAGCUCGUAGUUGAACCUUGGGCCUGGCUGGCCGGUCCGCCUCACCGCGUGCACUGGUCCGGCCGGGCCUUUCCCUCUGGGGAGCCGCAUGCCCUUCACUGGGCGUGCCGGGGAACCAGGACGUUUACUUUGAAAAAAUUAGAGUGUUCAAAGCAGGCUUAUGCUCGGAUACAUUAGCAUGGAAUAAUGGAAUAGGACGUGCGGUUCUAUUUUGUUGGUUUCUAGGACCGCCGUAAUGAUUAAUAGGGACAGUCGGGGGCAUCAGUAUUCAAUUGUCAGAGGUGAAAUUCUUGGAUUUAUUGAAGACUAACUACUGCGAAAGCAUUUGCCAAGGAUGUUUUCAUUAAUCAGGAACGAAAGUUAGGGGAUCGAAGACGAUCAGAUACCGUCGUAGUCUUAACCAUAAACUAUGCCGACUAGGGAUCGGACGCUGUUGUCUUUUGACGCGUUCGGCACCUUACACGAAAGUACAAGUUUCUGGGC